rnacentral:lncRNA from 1 species
AAGCUCCUAGCUUUCUGGAUCCACCCGGCUGGUCUUAAAACCAUUCAUUUUUGGGCUCCAACAUUCAAAUGGGGCAUCAACAUAGCAAACAUUGCAGACUUUUCAAACUACAAUAUAAAAAAUUAGAACCUUUUUAGUGUCAAUUUUGCAAUGGCUAGGAUGGGCUUGUAUCAACUAUCACGCAAAAUCAAGCAAGAUUACUUCUCCGAGAGCACCGAGAUAGAGGCAACUGCAAUGCAAGAAUCAUGAUGCAAAUUUCCUAAAGCCUAAACUAGUAUCAUUUUCCCUUUUUCUUUUUGCUAUUGUCAAAAACUGAAUGCAUUUCAAAAAUGUUAUCUUCAUUUGCUGUUGGAUUGGUUGGUGCGAGUUGUAUAACAACGCCAAAUUGAUUGUAAUUAAAAUUAAAAAGAAUAUGAUUACCUUAAAUAAAAAAGAAAAAAAGGAAAAAGGAAAAGUCUAACCUUUAAGAAUAGUCCCAAAUAUAAUGAAAAAAGAUUUAUGCCUUUGGUACUUUCUUCUCCCGUUGCAAUUCACAGUGUUGACACAUUUUUUUCCCUGAAAAAGUACUGCAAGUUAGUAUAUUUAUCACUAAUCAUAUUUAAUAGGAAACGUUGACAACUUGAAUUUAAGAUUUUCUUUAAUUUAAUUUGGAAUGCUAUGAACAAAACAUAAUUAGACAUGUCAAUGCACCACAAAUCAAAUUUUCAAGUCAUUUGGACAACUCUACAUUUGCUUCUCACAUGAUAAAACUAUAUAAGUUAAAAUUGCAUAUGAAACUGUAAAAGUAGCAGCAGGUGUUUGAAUAUAUAUUAAAUUUAAAAUACUAAAUAUAUCAGAACGAUACUUUCCAGAUUUUAAGUGGACAUAUAAUUCAACAACAUAUUAAAAUUUGAGGCUAUUCUGAUAUCAUUAGCCUGGUGUUUGAUAGGAUCAAAGAUUAAUGAAUAGUUCUGUCAAAAAAAGUUACUGCAGAGACAGCAGAGUUUGAAAAAUCAUGAAAAAUAAAUUACAAGUUCAAUGAAAAUAAAAUUUUCCAGAUUCGAAGUAUGCAAAUAGAAGUGUAGUUUAUCCAAAUUUCAGCUUAUUCUAACUCUGUUAGACUAUACGUUUGCAAUAUCAAACAUGGUACAUAUGUAAUUUCUAAUAAAAUUGGACAACAACCAACCAUAUUGAGAAAUCCAUUCAAAAUCAAAUAUAAACCCAAUUCAUUCCAAAAUUUCCAGAAUUAAAAUGUUCUCAUUUAAACUUAGUUUAAUCAAACUUUCAAAUCAAUUGAAAGUCAUUUAGUCAAGUUCGGAAACAACCAAGUUCACAACAACAGUCUAUCAAUCCUCAAAUUUUCAGCAUAAUUUCGUGAGGGAGAAUGGAGAUUUUUACUUAAGAAAAUUUUAGGUUUGGGUUUUCAUACACACCAUUAAACGAAAUAUAUAAUACAUACUAAACCCAUGAUUGUCUAUUACCAUUAUUCUUUUAAUUAACAAAUUGCAUUCAACCUAAAUCCAUAAUCACCGAUUGUAAUCAUUCUUUCACUUAAUAAACUGAAUUCCACCUAUAAUAAAGUUGCGUUUUAUUUAUUUUAUUAAACAAUAAAUUAGAUUAUAAGCAACAAAAACCCUAGAUGGCUAGAUUUCCAAACAAGUGCAAGCUCUCAUUUGCACUCAAUAAACAUCAAUCAAUUAACAGAUAAAUACUUAAACAAUGAGAAUAGAGAAUGAGACAAAGAGUUACCACAACACUGAUUCGGACUUUCAAACCUUAGCUUUGCCCAAAUUCUUCACAGCACUUUCUGGGUUCUUUUCAGGGAUAUUUUAGCUUAAGGACAACGGGUUUCAAGGUGUUGACAGAGGCGGCUUUCAAGGUGUUGACAGAGGCGGCUUUCAAGGUAGAUCGUUGUUAGAGAGAGAAAGAGAGCGAGAGAGAGGGAAGGAGAGAGAAGGAAGAAAGCUUCAGCGCCCGUGAGAUAGAUUUUUGACUUAACAAAAAUUUUUAGGUUUUAGGUUUCACACAGACCAUACAUGAAAGAUUUCUA